CGAACGCUGGCGGCAGGCCUAAUACAUGCAAGUCGAACGGCUCUUCGGAGCAGUGGCGGACGGGUGAGUAACGCGUGGGAAUGUGCCCUUUGGUACGGAACAACACAGGGAAACUUGUGCUAAUACCGUAUGUGCCCUUCGGGGGAAAGAUUUAUCGCCAUUGGAGCAGCCCGCGUUGGAUUAGGUAGUUGGUGAGGUAAAGGCUCACCAAGCCUACGAUCCAUAGCUGGUCUGAGAGGAUGAUCAGCCACACUGGGACUGAGACACGGCCCAGACUGCUACGGGAGGCAGCAGUAGGGAAUCUUGCGCAAGGGGCGAAAGCCUGACGCAGCCAUGCCGCGUGAAUGAUGAAGGUCCUAGGAUUGUAAAAUUCUUUCACCGGGGAAGAUAAUGACGGUACCCGGAGAAGAAGCCCCGGCUAACUUCGUGCCAGCCGCCGCGGUAA
rnacentral:rRNA from 1 species